GAUGAAGAACGCAGCGAAAUGCGAUAAGUAAUGUGAAUUGCAGAAUUCAGUGAAUCAUCGAAUCUUUGAACGCAUCUUGCGCUCCUUGGUAUUCUGAGGAGCAUGCCUGUUUGAGUGUCAUUAAAUUCUCAACUACACUGACUUUGAAUUGGUGUGGCUUGGAUUUGGGGGGAAAAUUGUUGUGGGCUUUUUGUAUAGUCUGCUCCCCUGAAAUUGAUUAGCGGUACCUUUGUGGAACUGUCUACAGGUGUGAUAAUUAUCUACAUCUUAGACAUCUGCUGGAAUGCUGCUUUCUAAACCUUACUUGUAUUGACAAUCUUGACCUCAAAUCAGGUAGGACUACCCGCUGAACUUAAGCAUAUCAAUAAGCGGAGGA
rnacentral:misc_RNA from 1 species